rnacentral:rRNA from 1 species
CUUGAAGAAUUAAAUUAACUUAGUGGCGGACGGGCGAGUAACACGUGAGCAACCUGCCUCUUACAGGGGAAUAACAACGGGAAACCGUUGCUAAUACCGCAUAACAUGUUGAAAGGGCAUCCUUUUAACAUCAAAGGAGCAAUCCGGUAAGAGAUGGGCUCGCGUCCGAUUAGCUAGUUGGUAGGGUAACGGCCUACCAAGGCGACGAUCGGUAGCCGGACUGAGAGGUCGAACGGCCGCAUUGGGACUGAGACACGGCCCAGACUCCUACGGGAGGCAGCAGUGGGGAAUAUUGGGCAAUGGGCGAAAGCCUGACCCAGCAACGCCGCGUGAGUGAUGAAGGCCUUCGGGUUGUAAAACUCUUUGGACAGGGACGAAGAAAGUGACGGUACCUGUAGAACAAGCCACGGCUAACUACGUGCCAGCAGCCGCGGUAAUACGUAGGUGGCGAGCGUCAUCCGGAUUUACUGGGCGUAAAGGGCGUGUAGGCGGCUAGAUAAGUGUGAUGUUUAAAUCCAAGGCUUAACCUUGGGGUUCAUUACAAACUGUUUAGCUUGAGUGCUGGAGAGGAUAGUGGAAUUCCUAGUGUAGCGGUAAAAUGCGUAGAUAUUAGGAGGAACACCGGUGGCGAAGGCGGCUAUCUGGACAGUAACUGACGCUGAGGCGCGAAAGCGUGGGGAGCAAACAG